rnacentral:rRNA from 1 species
GACGAACGCUGGCGGCGUGCUUAACACAUGCAAGUCGAACGAUGAAGCCCUUCGGGGUGGAUUAGUGGCGAACGGGUGAGUAACACGUGGGCAAUCUGCCCUUCACUCUGGGACAAGCCCUGGAAACGGGGUCUAAUACCGGAUAACACUCUGUCCCGCAUGGGACGGGGUUAAAAGCUCCGGCGGUGAAGGAUGAGCCCGCGGCCUAUCAGCUUGUUGGUGGGGUAAUGGCCUACCAAGGCGACGACGGGUAGCCGGCCUGAGAGGGCGACCGGCCACACUGGGACUGAGACACGGCCCAGACUCCUACGGGAGGCAGCAGUGGGGAAUAUUGCACAAUGGGCGAAAGCCUGAUGCAGCGACGCCGCGUGAGGGAUGACGGCCUUCGGGUUGUAAACCUCUUUCAGCAGGGAAGAAGCGAAAGUGACGGUACCUGCAGAAGAAGCGCCGGCUAACUACGUGCCAGCAGCCGCGGUAAUACGUAGGGCGCAAGCGUUGUCCGGAAUUAUUGGGCGUAAAGAGCUCGUAGGCGGCUUGUCACGUCGGAUGUGAAAGCCCGGGGCUUAACCCCGGGUCUGCAUUCGAUACGGGCUAGCUAGAGUGUGGUAGGGGAGAUCGGAAUUCCUGGUGUAGCGGUGAAAUGCGCAGAUAUCAGGAGGAACACCGGUGGCGAAGGCGGAUCUCUGGGCCAUUACUGACGCUGAGGAGCGAAAGCGUGGGGAGCGAACAGGAUUAGAUACCCUGGUAGUCCACGCCGUAAACGUUGGGAACUAGGUGUUGGCGACAUUCCACGUCGUCGGUGCCGCAGCUAACGCAUUAAGUUCCCCGCCUGGGGAGUACGGCCGCAAGGCUAAAGCUCAAAGGAAUUGACGGGGGCCCGCACAAGCAGCGGAGCAUGUGGCUUAAUUCGACGCAACGCGAAGAACCUUACCAAGGCUUGACAUAUACCGGAAAGCAUCAGAGAUGGUGCCUCCCUUGUGGUCGGUAUACAGGUGGUGCAUGGCUGUCGUCAGCUCGUGUCGUGAGAUGUUGGGUUAAGUCCCGCAACGAGCGCAACCCUUGUUCUGUGUUGCCAGCAUGCCCUUCGGGGUGAUGGGGACUCACAGGAGACUGCCGGGGUCAACUCGGAGGAAGGUGGGGACGACGUCAAGUCAUCAUGCCCCUUAUGUCUUGGGCUGCACACGUGCUACAAUGGCCGGUACAAUGAGCUGCGAUGCCGCGAGGCGGAGCGAAUCUCAAAAAGCCGGUCUCAGUUCGGAUUGGGGUCUGCAACUCGACCCCAUGAAGUCGGAGUUGCUAGUAAUCGCAGAUCAGCAUUGCUGCGGUGAAUACGUUCCCGGGCCUUGUACACACCGCCCGUCACGUCACGAAAGUCGGUAACACCCGAAGCCGGUGGCCCAACCCCUUGUGGGAGGGAGCUGUCGAAGGUGGGACUGGCGAUUGGGACG